rnacentral:rRNA from 1 species
GGAGCAUGUGGUUAAUUCGAUGCAACGCGAGAACUUACCUGGCUUGACAUCCCGGGAAUCCCCUGGAACAGGGGAGUGCCCUUCGGGAACCCGGUGACAGGUGCUGCAUGGCUGUCGUCAGCUCGUGUCGUGAGAUGUUCGGUUAAGUCCGCUAACGAGCGACAACCCUCGUCGUAUGUUAUAUGUGUCAUACGAGACUGCCGGUAAAAGCCGGAGGAAGGUGAGGAUGAUGUCAAGUCAGCAUGACCUUUAUAUCCAGGGCUACACACACGCUACAAUGGUCUGUACAAUGGGUAGCCAAGCCGCGAGGCGGAGCCAAUCCUGAAAGCAGGCCUCAGUUCAGAUUGCAGUCUGCAACUCGACUGCAUGAAGCCGGAGUUGCUAGUAACCGCAGGUCAGCAAUACUGCGGUGAAUACGUUCCCGGGUCUU